GACGAGGGUUGAAAGUGGUUAAGGCGAUGGACUGCUAAUCCAUUACCUGCUCAAGUGUGGGUUCGAAUCCCAUCCUCGUCG